GGUGAAGACAGUUCGGCUGAAGGAGUUCAGCCGCCUCCUCACCGGCUCCGGUAGCGACAUGGAGCGAAGCGGGCGGUAGCGCUCGUUCCUUUAGCAACGAGGCGCGGCUCAGACGCUUUGCGCAGCUGCACUGCGGUCAGAGAGAGGCAUUGCACCCGCCACUUCCGGAACCGAUUGGAGACGCUCUGUGGACAGCAAGAGUUCUUGCAAGUCGACGGGCGCCGUUACUUUGCCACGAUUUCCGAAGGGUAGCGGUGUUCGUCUGUUGCAGCAAAAGCAAAGGAGAGCCUGGCGGCAUGUGCAAGACGUUUAACGCGUGCUUUACACCACAAUAGAGGCGCUUUUCUUUAAGCAUCACAGGGUCACCAGUUCAGCAGCAAUUUAACACCAAAUGACUAGUGUGAAUUUAACAGAUAGGAAGAACACAAGCACCUGUGAUUCCUGCAGGAAGCUAGCAAUCAACUGCUACAAGAGGACAUGCAAGAAAGGCUGCUUCCAGACAAGGCUUUUAGCAGAUCAUCAUCCUGCCUUGUUCUCAGAAGUUUAUGAAGAGUCUAGAUUUUAAAGGCAGAUGGUCUUGGCCCAUUUUUCACAGUGUCUAUGGAAUUGGAGCCAGAUUUCUAUCUCAUACUUAUGCAUUGAUGAGAUAGAAUGCUUAUUUCUUAAAGCUUAUGUAUAUGAAUUAUACUCCAGUCUUGCAUGAAAAUCUGAUAAGAGGUCUAGUUAACUAUGAUGCAUUCCCCAAUUUCAUAUUUUGUAAGAAAUGAAAGUCUUCAACUGUAAAAGAGAUAAAUGGAUGUGCUAGCCAAAAUAUGCUAUUAUGAGGCUGUCAAUAUCAUGAUCAUUGGGUUAAAAUGUAAAGAAAAUAAGUGCAUAAUAAAUUUAUUCUAUUUA